AGGAGCUGUUCCCUGAGGUUUUCAUGCUGGUCUGUGGGAAGGUCGCUCCAGUGACGGGAGAUCUUCAUGUGAAGGGUGCUGGCACCAAAGAAUUGCACCUCUGGGAGCUGAGAAGAGACAUUUUCACACGUCACGAGAAACCCCAAGAGGACAGACCUUGUCUUGGCUGAGCAGGGCCCAGCAGAAGUGCCAGGCUUGUGCGGAAGCCUGGGCCUGGGUCAGCCAUUUCUGGGCCACAUUCUUAUGCUCCAUGGUAGGAUCAAAGUAAAGCUGGUAGAGAGUCUGAAGAGGACGAAGGAGCAGAAAUAAUGGACAUGGGCAUCAAAAUUAACUGAUCGUCUAUACCAGUGGUUAUCAAAUUUUUUAUACUCUGUACCACCUGAGAAAACAUUGAGUUGAGUUGAAAGUUAAUAGACUUUUUUUACAAUUCAAAAAUCAGAAAUACUUUAUCAAUUCUUAAGGGGGGGUUGAUCCAACAUCUCUAUGGCAACUUCUGGAAAGCCAGAGGUUUGGAAAUAAUAGAUAAAAAAAGAUAAGAAACAAACCAUACACCCCUAUAUUUUUUUCAUUUAUUUUCAUUCAUUUGAUCUCGCAUCACUACAUUGCUUAUACAUGCCAGGCCACUAGAUGGCGCAGCGCAUUUGUGGUGGAAUGGAAUUUACAGGAAGAACAAAUCCUGCCGCCGUGACAACAAAACGUUUAUCUCAUUUAUUAUUACUAUAAGUAAGUAAAUAUCCACUCAUUUUGUUGUACAUUCUAUAUGUUAUGAGUUAAUUAUGUGACUGAGUAAUUCGCUGUGCACAUACGAGCCAAAUUAACCGGUUAUCGAGAGAGGGUUGGUGUCGAGUGAGUAUGAAGUGUAUGCUAAGUGGCUAAUGGCCCUGUGGAGUUAAUUGACGCGCUGAAUAUAUGCCGACGUUUUUGACGUUAAGUGUUUUAUGAAAUGUCACUUUAAUUUGCUUAAUAAGUUUUAUUCGUACACAAAUUGAUAUUUCUUGCAUUGUUGCCAGCACCAGGAAAACGCUACUCCAUAGUUAAAGUGCAGCAUCGUUGAUAGAGUGAAGAAUGUAGCUACUGUAGUUGACGUAGAAAAGUAAAUAAUAUUUACAGUAAAAAGUAAUUUCGUGAUAUUGAAAUUAAUUCUUGGUGAAAAGUUGCUUUAGUGCAAACAAAUUUUUUUUUUCCAUGAACACAAUAGAAUGUUUUAUUAUUGUUAUUGUUUUUAUAAAACGGCCAAAUUAUAUGGAAGUUGCGGCUAAAGCUAAGGGCAUUAGCUAAGACGAGAAAAAAAAACAAUUCGCGGCACCCAGUCUAUCGAGCUAGUGGCAACAAAAACAUGGACAAUUGAGUCUAGGUAAUUGAGGUAACCCAAUAGUCCUACAUGACUGGACAAGAACCACGGCAUUUAAAUUACGGCAAUGUCGCUGUAUUCUACACUCUGUGCCCUUGAAUAGUACAGUUGUCAUUAUUUCAGGCUGUGUUGUGGAGGGAACUAAUCCAAAGCACAUGGUGUUGGUUAUUAUUAGGACAGCAUAUGCUUAUAGCUAGUCUCAGGUUACACAUGGUCCAGUCUCUGUCCGACCCGUUCAAAGUUACAUUACUAAUGAAAACGUUUUUUCUAGCAGGGUUAAUAUAUAUUAUUUUUAAAUUGGAUUGGAAAUUCGGAAACAAGAUCUCUAUGGGGGGGAGUUCUGCAAAACAAAAUCAACAAAUAUCUAAAAAGUUACAAUAAUUGAAAAAUAGGACUGCUGUCAACUCACCGACUCUACAUUCUCCACCGAUAACUCCAACUCCACCGGGCUUUUUGCCGAAGGAUUGUCUGGAGUAGAAGGCUCCAUGGCUGUUUCUCCGCUUUCGGAUUUUAGAAUAACGGCCGACCGUUAAAAGAAAGAAAAAAAAAAAGAAAGCGACUAUAGACUAGUGUUGUCUCCACAGUGUGUGUCGAGGGAAGCCAGCUGACAGAGGACGCAGCGGGUCAUUCAGCUGUCAUCCUGCAAGUACACAUGGUGGCCAGUGCGCACAGGCGUGACCACAUAUACCCUAUACUGACCUCUGCGGACACUGACAAAGCAACGAAACGAAUAUCACCUGCUAUUAAUAAUCAAACCUGUAAUCACUGAAAACUACGUGACACCCCCAAAGCUUUAUAACAAGCCCCCGCAUCCCCGGCAUCGGCUUCACAACAGGCGCUCCUGGCCUGACGCACACGACCGAGCCUCUGACGCACUGGCUCCUGAUUGGAGCCGAGGAGCGACACACUGAUGCAUGUGGUAGGGAUGGAUGCUGAUGAUGUGUGAGUACGUGAAAAGAUCGUGAUGUGCCAUGCGCCGCCUGCUGGCGGCCCCACCCCUGCCUCCGCUCUUCUGCCCGACUCCCUCAAGAUAUUUUUAGCGCAGAUGAUGAGCCCCAGUUCACUACACGUCAAAGAAAACGAGCUCAGAGCUAAAAGGGCAGAAGCUGUGGCGGAGAGAGACCGGUGAGAUCUGCAGCAGAUGAGAUGAGACUACACGGCCAUUUACUAUUACUGGUCCUGGUGGUUCUGAUCGGCUCGUCGGAGACACAAGGUCAGAGCAGUGCUUUGACCUCUGUCUUCACUACAAAGACCUUUCCAAAUCAUGCUGACAGCACGGUAUCACCUGACCUGACGGAGGCUCCAGACACAAAGUGGACACACAGUGGUGCAGUCAAGGAUGAAACCUCACCUCAGAGCGCUAAAGGAACAGCCCACUGGGAGACCGCCACAGUUCCAGUAUCACUUGGAUCACAACAGAUGAACACACACCCUUCUGAAGCAACGUCACAACAAACAAGUUCAUUGGUUGGCAUGAGUACACAGCCCCAUGGUGCAUUUUCAGAUUCCGGGGACGGCCUUUCAUCCAAACCCUCUCUCUGGACCGCUGCCUUUUCAAGUCAAGCCUCCGUAUCUGCAAACAGGAGACAAGACUCCCCUACUGUCUCUCCAUCUACACCCUCCCACACAGGGAAGGCUACAAGCUCCGAAGGCCACACCUUCCCCACACAGUUACCGUCUCAG